ensembl:lncRNA
NNNNNNNNNNNNNNNNNNNNNNNNNNNNNNNNNNCUAAUUUCGGCCUAAAGUACCUGGCACAGCAGCACAAAGUUAACUAUCCUUCAGCCUCAGCAUUCAUUGAGAAGAACUUUUAUGUGGAUGAUGGGUUAACCAGUGUUCCCUCAACCAGUGAAGCCAAAGAACUAAUAAUGCAAGCUCAAAGAGUGUGUAAACAUGGAGGUUUACGGCUUCACAAAUUUAACUCAAAUAAGGAAGACGUUUUGAGUUGUUUAAACCCAUCAGAAAAGGCAACAACAUCAAAGCCUCUUGACUUUAAUCUUGAAGCAACACCAGCUGGACGUGUACUCGGCAUUCAAUGGUCAACAAAGGAUGACACAUUCAGUUUCAGCAUCGACCUUAAGGAUCAACCAUUGACUCGCCGUGGUAUUCUGUCUGUUAUAGCCUCUCUAUAUGACCCUCUUGGGUUUGUCGCCCCAUUUAUUCUACAGGGAAAGUGUAUCCUACAAGAACUGUGUCGUAGAGGUACUGAAUGGGACAACGAACUUCCUGAUGACUUGCGUCCUCAAUGGGUGGAUUGGAAAAACGAUCUUCUGAAACUCAAGGAAGUAUUGAUACCAAGAUGUUAUCACCCACAUACCUUCAGUGACAUAGUCAGAACAGAGUUACACCACUUCUCUGAUGCGAGUAAUGUAGGAUAUGGUGCUUGUUCCUACCUCCGCUUCAAAAAUGACAAGAGUGAAGUCCACUGCAGUCUGGUGAUGGCUAAAGCCAGGGUCUCACCUACAAAGGUCAUAAGCAUUCCCAGGUUAGAACUCUCAGCCGCUGUCAUAUCUGCCAGAAUGAGUGUCAUGCUGAAAAAUGAGCUGGAAAUGAAGAUUGACCAAGAGUUCUUCUGGACAGACUCGCAGGUCGUUUUAGCAUACAUUAACAACGAAGCCCGUAGGUUUCAUGUUUUUGUCGCAAAUCGAGUGCAGCUGAUACGAGAUGUCACAGAUCCUAGUCAGUGGUGUUACGUAAAUACAACAGAUAACCCUGCUGAUUAUGCAUCUAGAGGGCUUAAUGCGUCUGCCAUCUCUACAUCAAUGUGGUUAUCAGGACCCAAAUUUCUGUGGGAACAGGAAGUAAAUGCAACACCAUACACACCUGUGAA